ACGAAGGGGGCUAGCGUUGUUCGGAAUCACUGGGCGUAAAGCGCACGUAGGCGGACAAUUAAGUCAGGGGUGAAAGCCUGGGGCUCAACCUCAGAAUUGCCCUUGAUACUGGUUGUCUAGAGUCCGGUAGAGGUGAGUGGAACUGCUAGUGUAGAGGUGAAAUUCGUAGAUAUUAGCAAGAACACCAGUGGCGAAGGCGGCUCACUGGACCGGUACUGAAGCUGAGGUGCGAAAGCGUGGGGAGCAAACAG
rnacentral:rRNA from 1 species